rfam:Camelus ferus unplaced genomic scaffold scaffold84, whole genome shotgun sequence.
GAGGGUAUAGCUCAAGUGGUAAAGUGCAUGCUCAGCAUGCAUGAGGUCCUGGGUUCAAUCCUCAAUACCUCCA